GAAAUGCGAUAAGUAAUGUGAAUUGCAGAAUUCAGUGAAUCAUCGAAUCUUUGAACGCACAUUGCGCCCGAUAGUAUUCUGGCGGGCAUGCCUGUUCGAGCGUCAUUUCAACCAUCAAGCCCCCGGCUUGUGUUGGGGACCUGCGGCUGCCCGCAGGCCCUGAAAACCAGUGGCGGGCUCGCUGUCACACCGAGCGUAGUAGCAUACAUCUCGCUCAGGGCGUGCUGCGGGUUCCGGCCGUUAAACGACCUUCGUAACCCCAAGGUUGACCUCGGAUCAGGCAGGAAUACCCGCUGAACUUAA
rnacentral:misc_RNA from 1 species